rnacentral:rRNA from 1 species
UACGUAGGGCGCAAGCGUUAUCCGGAAUUAUUGGGCGUAAAGAGCUCGUAGGCGGUUUGUCGCGUCUGCCGGGAAAGUCCGGGGCUCAACUCCGGAUCUGCGGUGGGUACGGGCAGACUAGAGUGCAGUAGGGGAGACUGGAAUUCCUGGUGUAGCGGUGAAAUGCGCAGAUAUCAGGAGGAACACCGAUGGCGAAGGCAGGUCUCUGGGCUGUAACUGACGCUGAGGAGCGAAAGCAUGGGGAGCGAACAGG